GUGCUCGCUUUGGAAGCAUAUAUACGAAAACUGAAACAAUGCAGAAAAGAUUAGCAUGGCCCCUAUGCAAGGAUGACACACAAACCAUAGUCAGAAACACUGAAAUAUC